GUGCUUGCUUUGGCAGCGUGUACACUAAAACUGGAACAACAGAGAGAAGAUUAGUAUGGCCCCUGCAUGAGGAUGACAUGCAAAUUUGUGGAUCGUUCCACAUUUUU
ensembl:snRNA U6 U6 spliceosomal RNA